rnacentral:rRNA from 1 species
AUACGGAGGGUGCAAGCGUUAUUCGGAAUCACUGGGCGUAAAGGACGCGUAGGCGGGUUUGUAAGUCAGGUGUGAAAUCCUACAGCUUAACUGUAGAACUGCACUUGAAACUACAGACCUAGAGUAUGGGAGGGGCAGAUGGAAUUAGUGGUGUAGGGGUAAAAUCCGUAGAUAUCACUAGGAAUACCGAAAGCGAAGGCGAUCUGCUGGAACAUAACUGACGCUAAGGCGUGAAAGCGUGGGGAGCAAACAGAAUUAGAAACCCCAGUAGUCC